GGGGAAUAUUGGACAAUGGGCGAAAGCCUGAUCCAGCCAUGCCGCGUGUGUGAAGAAGGUCUUCGGAUUGUAAAGCACUUUAAGUUGGGAGGAAGGGCAGUAAAUUAAUACUUUGCUGUUUUGACGUUACCGACAGAAUAAGCACCGGCUAACUCUGUGCCAGCAGCCGCGGUAAUACAGAGGGUGCAAGCGUUAAUCGGAAUUACUGGGCGUAAAGCGCGCGUAGGUGGUUCGUUAAGUUGGAUGUGAAAUCCCCGGGCUCAACCUGGGAACUGCAUUCAAAACUGACGAGCUAGAGUAUGGUAGAGGGUGGUGGAAUUUCCUGUGUAGCGGUGAAAUGCGUAGAUAUAGGAAGGA
rnacentral:rRNA from 1 species